GGGUCGAUGGCGUAGUUGGUUAUCGCAUCUGUCUUACAUGAUUUCACAGAAGGUCCUCAGUUCGAGCCUGGGUCGACUCA